rnacentral:rRNA from 1 species
GUGCCAGCAGCCGCGGUAAUACGGAGGAUGCAAGCGUUAUCCGGAUUCAUUGGGUUUAAAGGGUGCGUAGGCGGAGUACUAAGUCAGCGAUGAAAUCCUGCAGCUUAACUGUAGAACUGUCAUUGAUACUGGUAUUCUUGAAUGCAGUUGAGGUAGGCGGAAUGUGUAAUGUAGCGGUGAAAUGCUUAGAUAUUACACAGAACACCGAUUGCGAAGGCAGCUUACUAAACUGUGAUUGACGCUGAGGCACGAAAGCGUGGGGAGCAAACAGGAUUAGAUACCCUGGUAGUCCACGCCGUAAACUAUGAUUACUCGCUGUUGGCGAUACAUUGUCAGCGGCUGAGCGAAAGCAUUAAGUAAUCCACCUGGGGAGUACGAUCGCAAGGUUGAAACUUAAAUGAAUUGACGGGG